rnacentral:lncRNA from 1 species
CCUGCACGACGCCUCGGCUGCUGCACCUGCGCCCGUCAGCACCGCGCCCGCCACCAAGACCAGCCGCUGCGCCAAGGGCGGCCCCCUGAGCCCGCGCAAGGACGCCGGGCGUGCAAAGGACAGGAAGGACCCCAGGAAGAAGAAGAAAGGGAAAGAGUCUGGGCCAGGAGCUGGGCUGCCGCCGCCCCGAGCUCCUGCCUUGCCCUCUGAGGCCAGGGCUCCUCACGCCAGCUCCCUGACCGCUGCCAAAAGGAGCAAAGCCAAGGCCAAAGGGAAGGAGGUGAAGAAGGAGAACCGCGGCAAGGGGGGUGCCGUGAGCAAGCUGAUGGAGAGCAUGGCAGCCGAGGAGGACUUUGAACCCAACCAAGACUCGAGCUUCUCUGAGGACGAGCACCUGCCGCGUGGCGGGGCUGUGGAGCGGCCGCUGACCCCGGCCCCUCGCUCCUGCAUCAUCGACAAGGAUGAGCUGAAGGACGGCCUGCGUGUGCUCAUCCCCAUGGACGACAAGCUGCUGUACGCCGGGCACGUGCAGACCGUGCACUCGCCAGACAUAUACCGCGUGGUGGUGGAGGGUGAGCGGGGCAACCGGCCCCACAUCUACUGUCUGGAGCAGUUGCUGCAGGAGGCGAUCAUCGAUGUGAGGCCAGCCUCCACUCGCUUCUUGCCACAAGGGACCAGGAUUGCAGCCUACUGGAGCCAGCAGUACCGCUGUCUCUACCCAGGCACUGUGGUCCGAGGUGAGAUGCCUCCUCCCCAGCUCUCCCCUGCCGCCUAACAUCUCAGUAUGGACUUGUUUGGCUACUAAAACUCAACUCUAACUGGCUUAAGAAUAAAGACUUGUGGGCUCACAUAACUGAAAACUGUAUGGCCUUCAGGCAUGAUUGGAUCCAGGCACCAUUUAAACGAUGUCAUCAGGACUCCAGCUCUGAGUAUCUGUCAGCAGUGCUGUCAUCUGUGCUGGCUUCACACUAGCUCCUUGGAGACUGUAUUUUACCAUCUUAAGAAAUCUUAUCAUUGGAGGAUUUCUCAGUCUCGGUUUUCCCACACAAGUUCUACUGUGAACUGACUUGGGCCACAUGGUUUUCAUUGAUCCUACCGCUGUGAGUCUGAUUGACCGGGCCUGGGUCAGAUUCUCAUCCCUGGGGCUAAGGAGUGAGGUCACCUCCCUUUUAUUCGUGGGCUGAGAAAGAUGGGAGGGUGGCUUCCCCUGCAGAGUGGACAUGUUGUUAGAAUAAGAGAGAAUGAGGCUGGAUGUGGUGGCUCACGCCUGUAAUCCCAGCACUUUGGGAGGCCGAGGUGGGUGGAUCACUUGAGGUCAGGAGUUCAAGACCAGAUUGGGCAACGUGGUAAAACCCCGUCUCUACUAAAAAUACAAAAAUUAGCUGGGCGUGGUGGCAGGUGCCUGUAAUCCCAGCUACUUGGGAGGCUGAGGCAGGAGAAUCACUCAAACCUGGGAAGUGGAGGUUGCAGUGAGCCAGGAUUGCACCACUGCACUCUAGCCUGGGUGACAGAGUGAGACUGCGUCUCAAAAAAAGAAAAAGAAUGGAGGCUGGAUGGAGAAAAGCAACAGGUACCCUAGGAAAUGUAGGUGUGGAUAUCAGACAGGCAAGAAAGACAGUCAAAUGGUCCAACCCUUAGCUUUUGCAAAAGCAAUGUAUCCUAGAGAGGGGGUAUGGAUGUGGAUUAGACAUACCCCGCCCGUGCAAAAAAAAGCCCACUCAUAUGCCAAAUACAGUCCACUGCUUGGCCUACCAUCCAUUCAUACCCAGAAGAUGGAAGCCAGUGCCAGCUCAGCAAAACAACAGAUGAGUGGUCCAGCCUGAGUAGAGGAUCUCAGGCCAGGAAGACUUAGUUUUUUCCAUCAUAUUAGUCACUCAUUUAUCAUCCAAAUUCUGAAAGUGCUGUUAAUAAGGCAGAAGUUGGCUUUAGAUUCGGAUUUCCUGGCACAUGCUGUCCCCCUGUACUGGGAGGUGCUGGCUGUGUUCUAGGCCUGUCUCAUGGGUAUCAUUCUGGAUUCUUGGGCCUUCCCUGUCCCUCAUCCUGGGAACCGCUUUUGUUGCGUUGCAUGUUUUUCUCUUUUUUGGUUCAGUUCCUUGUUUUAAGCAGUGGAUCUUUCAGUAGCUUUCUGAGGAAGAGUCUGUGGGAGUUAAAUUUCUCACAUCCUUGUAUGUUUGUAAUCGCUUCAUUCUACCCUGAUUUUUUAGAGAUAGCUGAGCUGGGUACCCUUAUUCUUUAGAGAUAGUUGAGCUGGGUAUAAAUUCGUGACUGGAAAUAGUUCCCCUCACCAUUUCAAAGACAUUUUUCUAUUUUUAUCUUGCUUCCCAUGUUGAAGACAUUCAAAAUUGUGAUUCCAAAAUCAUUGUAGGAGACCUGCUUUUUUAUCUCUGGAAACUUUUAGGAUCUUCUCAUUAUCCCUAGAUCUGGAAUUCUGUGUGUGUGUGUGUGUGUGUGUGUGUGUGUGUGUGUGUGUGUGUGUGUGUCUCUAU